rnacentral:lncRNA from 1 species
AACACAACAUGUACACCCCGAGGUGCUGUGGGACAAACAUGGACAAACCUGACCCAAAAUGACCCAAUCUACCCCUGUUUUUUAUCCCCCCAGCCACCAACCUGUGCUUUGCCGAGCGCAAUGUGUACACCCCGAGGUGCUGUGGGACAAACAUGGACAAACCUGACCCAAAAUGACCCAAACUGACCCAAUGUACCCCAAUUUUUAUCCCCCCAGCCACCAACCUGUGCUUUGCUGAGCGCAAUGUGUACACCCCGAGGUGCUGUGGGACAAACAUGGACAAAUCUGGACAAAUUGGUUGGAUGAAAAUGGACAAACCUGACCCAAAUCCAGACUGAUCCCUAUAUUUUUUGCCCCCCCAGCCACCAACCUGUGCUUUGCUGAACGCAACGUGUACACCCUGAGGUGCUGUGGGAUGAAAAUGGCCAAACCUGACCCAAAUCCAGACUGAUCCCUGGUUUUUUUGUCCCCCCAGCCACCAACCUGUGCUUUGCUGAGCGCAAUGUGUACACCCCUGAGGUGCUGUGGGACAAAAAUGGACAAAUAGGGACACAUGGGGACAAAUCUGGACAAAUUGGUUGGAUGAAAAUGGACAAACCUGACCCAAAAUGUCCCAAACUGACCCAAUCUAUCCCAAUUUCUGCCCCCCCAGCCACCAACCUGUGCUUUGCCGAGCGCAACGUGUACACCCCCGAGGUCCUGGCCGUGGCCCUGCAGCAGCUGCUGGAGCAGAGCCCCCUGCCCGUGCUGCUCAUGCGGACGGUGAUCCAGGCCCUGGCCUCGUACCCGCGCCUGGGCGGCUUCGUCAUGAACGUCCUGUCCCGGCUCAUCAUGAAACAGGUGAUGGGGAUGGCUGUCUGUCUGUCUGUCUGUGUGUCUGUCUGUGUGUCCAUGUGUCAUGAACGUGCUGUCCCGGCUCAUCAUGAAACAGGUGAUGGCUGGGUGUCUGUCUGUCUGUCUGUCUGUGUGUCUGUGUGUCAUGAAUGUGCUGUCCCGGCUCAUCAUGAAACAGGUGAUGGCUGGGUGUCUGUGUGUCUGUCUGUGUGUCUGUGUGUCCAUGUGUCAUGAACGUGCUGUCCCGGCUCAUCAUGAAACAGGUGAUGGCUGGCUGUCUGUCUGUCUGUCUGUCUGUGUGUCUGUGUGUCAUGAACGUGCUGUCCCGGCUCAUCAUGAAACAGGUGAUGACUGGGAUGGAUGGCUGUGUGUCUGUCUGUGUGUCUGUGUGUCCAUCUGUCAUGAACGUGCUGUCCCAACUCACCAUGAAGCAGGUCCUCCUGUCUGUCUGUCUGUCUGUCUGUGUGUCCAUCUGUGUGUCCAUCUGUCUGUCCUUCUCCCUGUCUGUCCACUUGUCUGUCCCCAUCUGUCCGUCUGUCUCUCUGUCUGUCCAUCAGUCCCCCUCCCCAAAGCCCCCCCGA